AUACGGAGGGUCCAAGCGUUAUCCGGAAUCAUUGGGUUUCAAGGGUCCGCAGGCGGUCAAUUAAGUCAGAGGUGAAAGCCCAUCGCUCAACGAUGGAACUGCCUUUGAUACUGGUUGACUUGAGUUAUACGGAAGUAGAUAGAAUAAGUAGUGUAGCGGUGAAAUGCAUAGAUAUUACUUAGAAUACCGAUUGCGAAGGCAGUCUACUACGUAUAUACUGACGCUGAGGGACGAAAGCGUGGGGAGCGAACAGGAUUAGAAACCCCAGUAGUCC
rnacentral:rRNA from 1 species